AUGCUUGCUUUGAUAGCACCCAUACUAAAAUUGGAAUGAUGCCGAGAAGGUUAGCAGGGACCCUGAACAAGGGUGACAUGCAAAUUCUCACAAUGUUCCAUAUUUUA
rnacentral:snRNA from 1 species